GACGAACCGUGCGAACGUUGUUCGGAAUCACUGGGCUUAAAGGGCGCGUAGGCGGGCCACCCAGUCCGGGGUGAAAUCUUUCGGCUCAACCGGAAAAGGGCCUUGGAUACUGGUGGUCUGGAGGAAGGUAGGGGCAUGCGGAACUUCCGGUGGAGCGGUGAAAUGCGUUGAUAUCGGAAGGAACGCCGGUGGCGAAAGCGGCGUGCUGGACCUUUUCUGACGCUGAUGCGCGAAAGCCAGGGGAGCGAACGGG
rnacentral:rRNA from 1 species